GACGAACGCUGGCGGCGUGCCUAAUACAUGCAAGUAGAACGCUGAAGGAGGAGCUUGCUUCUCCGGAUGAGUUGCGAACGGGUGAGUAACGCGUAGGUAACCUGCCUGGUAGCGGGGGAUAACUAUUGGAAACGAUAGCUAAUACCGCAUAAGAGUAGAUGUUGCAUGACAUUUGCUUAAAAGGUGCAAUUGCAUCACUACCAGAUGGACCUGCGUUGUAUUAGCUAGUUGGUGGGGUAACGGCUCACCAAGGCGACGAUACAUAGCCGACCUGAGAGGGUGAUCGGCCACACUGGGACUGAGACACGGCCCAGACUCCUACGGGAGGCAGCAGUAGGGAAUCUUCGGCAAUGGACGGAAGUCUGACCGAGCAACGCCGCGUGAGUGAAGAAGGUUUUCGGAUCGUAAAGCUCUGUUGCAAGAGAAGAACGAGUGUGAGAGUGGAAAGUUCACA
rnacentral:rRNA from 1 species